ensembl:lncRNA
AAUCAACUUCAUUUCUGAUGAUGAGACUUCCCCAGAUUUUAUCCUAUUCCUUAAUGCUUAAUGCUCAGCGUGACUUGCAUGUGAAGAGAGGAGAAGAAAAGAAACUGCAGAAAAAAAGGGUUGAUUGCUUUUCUGUGUUUCAGAGCAGUAUAGAACAUGGGCAACCAGAGGCUGUCUCAUAUUCGGGACCACCAGGUAUGAUGACCACACUGAUGGGAUAUUUCUGGGGCAAAGACAACCUACCCAACUGGAAACACACGUAUAUCGAGAGUGGCUGCUCUUGUCAAAAACUACAGUGGACUGAUUUCACUUUCCAGUGCUGGCUUGGUUUGCAAGUGGAGACACCAGGAAUGGGUUGUAGUGGGAUGCUCUCGGCGUUGAUCCAGGGAGGACUUUCUGGUCCGAUGAGCCUGGACAUUGAAGUCCUCUGACAGAGAGCCAGAGAUACUUCAGGAGAAGAGAGGGCUUAUCUGGAGAAGAGGAGGCUCAGGGGAGACCUUUUAUCUCUCUACACUACAGCUACCUGAAAGAAGGUUGUGGUGAGGUGAGGGCCAGCCUCUUCUCCCAUGGAACUAGCGAUAGGAUGAGGGGAAAUGGCCUCCAGUUGCACCAGGGGAGGUUCAGUUUGGGAGUUAGGAAACAUUUCUUCUCCAAAAGAGUGGUCAGGCACUGGAAUGGGCUGCCCAAGGAGGUGGUUGAGUCACCGUCCCUGAAGGUGUUCAAGAAACAUCUAGAUGUUGUACUGAGAGACAUGGUUUAGUGGGGAAAUAAUGGCGGUAUGUUGAACUCGAUGGUCUUGGAGGUCUUUUCCAACCUUGGUGAUUCUAUGAUUCAACUUUGCUCUGAGGUGCUCUGUCAGCAGAGCCUUCCUGCCUGUCCUCCAAUGAGUUUGGAGAGAGAGAAGUAUUUACACACUUCUGGAGAAGAAAACUGGAGAGAGAAGUCCGAUGGGGAUAGUGAGGUGGAGACAGACCGAAGAAGUUUUGAGCACAGUCAGGUUUGGCUUUAGAAGGCAAAAGACCCCAGUUCAACAUUCUCCAUUCUGCAUCCAAAGAGGAAAGGAAAACCAUCUUCAUGUGCAGGAGAACAUGAACGCCACAUCACUGGAUUGGAAUAAAUACCAACAUAAACUCUGUGGUGAUCUCAAACCUCACAUGGUCCCUUUUCUCUCUUAUUCCACCAACUCACCAUAAAUGCUGUGUUUUACUAAGGUCGUAGCUUCACCUGGGGAGGAAGUAUCUAGGGUUUGAAACCCACUAAGAGAUGUAGAGGAUCAGUGUUGGUGAGUUUAUCCCUGUCUGCAGAGAGGAUGAAAUGUCUAAACUGAGACAGGUAAGAACUGGAAUCUGAUGGAAGACAGGGAAGAGAGGAGAACAAGAAAACUGGAAAAAGGAGAGAACUUCUAACCUACAAUCACACUGUCCGUGCUGGUUGAAAUCCAGGUAUAAACACACCCGUUUCCUUAUGUUUUACUUUUCAG